GACGAACGCUGGCGGUGUGCUUAACACAUGCAAGUGGAGCGACGAACCAGGGCUUGCCCUGGGGCAGAGCCGCGAACGGGUUAGUAACACGUGGGUAACGUACCCCGAUGACCGGGACAACCCGAGGAAACUCGGGCUAAUACCGGAUGUGCUCAGUCUUCAUGAGGAGACUGAACAAAGGAAGCUUCGGCCUCCGCAUCGGGAGCGGCCCGCGGCCCAUUAGCUUGUUGGUGGGGUAAUGGCCUACCAAGGCAACGAUGGGUAGCUGGUCUGAGAGGACGAUCAGCCACACUGGGACUGAGACACGGCCCAGACUCCUACGGGAGGCAGCAGUGGGGAAUCUUGCGCAAUGCGCGAAAGCGUGACGCAGCAACACCGCGUGAGGGAAGACGGCCUUCGGGUUGUAAACCUCUUUCAGGAGGGACGAAGGGUGACCGGUGAAUAGCCGUGUUGCUUGACGGUACCUCCAGAAGAAGGUCCGGCUAACUACGUGCCAGCCGCCGCCGUAAGAC
rnacentral:rRNA from 1 species